GCCUCCGUGGCCUAAUGGAUAAGACAUCGGUCUUUCAAAUCAGGGAUUGCGGGUUCGAGUCCCACUGAGGAUA
rnacentral:tRNA from 1 species